rnacentral:rRNA from 1 species
AGGGUUCGAUUCUGGCUCAGGAUGAACGCUGGCGGCGUGCUUAACACAUGCAAGUCGAACGGGAUCCAUCAGGCUUUGCUUGGUGGUGAGAGUGGCGAACGGGUGAGUAAUGCGUGACCGACCUGCCCCAUACACCGGAAUAGCUCCUGGAAACGGGUGGUAAUGCCGGAUGCUCCGACUCCUCGCAUGGGGUGUCGGGAAAGAUUUCAUCGGUAUGGGAUGGGGUCGCGUCCUAUCAGGUAGUCGGCGGGGUAACGGCCCACCGAGCCUACGACGGGUAGCCGGCCUGAGAGGGCGACCGGCCACAUUGGGACUGAGAUACGGCCCAGACUCCUACGGGAGGCAGCAGUGGGGAAUAUUGCACAAUGGGCGCAAGCCUGAUGCAGCGACGCCGCGUGCGGGAUGACGGCCUUCGGGUUGUAAACCGCUUUUGAUCGGGAGCAAGCCUUCGGGUGAGUGUACCUUUCGAAUAAGCACCGGCUAACUACGUGCCAGCAGCCGCGGUAAUACGUAGGGUGCAAGCGUUAUCCGGAAUUAUUGGGCGUAAAGGGCUCGUAGGCGGUUCGUCGCGUCCGGUGUGAAAGUCCAUCGCUUAACGGUGGAUCUGCGCCGGGUACGGGCGGGCUGGAGUGCGGUAGGGGAGACUGGAAUUCCCGGUGUAACGGUGGAAUGUGUAGAUAUCGGGAAGAACACCAAUGGCGAAGGCAGGUCUCUGGGCCGUUACUGACGCUGAGGAGCGAAAGCGUGGGGAGCGAACAGGAUUAGAUACCCUGGUAGUCCACGCCGUAAACGGUGGAUGCUGGAUGUGGGGCCCGUUCCACGGGUUCCGUGUCGGAGCUAACGCGUUAAGCAUCCCGCCUGGGGAGUACGGCCGCAAGGCUAAAACUCAAAGAAAUUGACGGGGGCCCGCACAAGCGGCGGAGCAUGCGGAUUAAUUCGAUGCAACGCGAAGAACCUUACCUGGGCUUGACAUGUUCCCGACGGUCGUAGAGAUACGGCUUCCCUUCGGGGCGGGUUCACAGGUGGUGCAUGGUCGUCGUCAGCUCGUGUCGUGAGAUGUUGGGUUAAGUCCCGCAACGAGCGCAACCCUCGCCCUGUGUUGCCAGCACGUCAUGGUGGGAACUCACGGGGGACCGCCGGGGUCAACUCGGAGGAAGGUGGGGAUGACGUCAGAUCAUCAUGCCCCUUACGUCCAGGGCUUCACGCAUGCUACAAUGGCCGGUACAACGGGAUGCGACACGGCGACGUGGAGCGGAUCCCUGAAAACCGGUCUCAGUUCGGAUUGGAGUCUGCAACCCGACUCCAUGAAGGCGGAGUCGCUAGUAAUCGCGGAUCAGCAACGCCGCGGUGAAUGCGUUCCCGGGCCUUGUACACACCGCCCGUCAAGUCAUGAAAGUGGGUAGCACCCGAAGCCGGUGGCCUAACCCUUUGUGGAUGGAGCCGUCUAAGGUGAGACUCGUGAUUGGGACUAAGUCGUAACAAGGUAGCCGUACCGGAAGGUGCGGCUG